GGACCGGGAUGGACAAACCUCUGAUGUACCAGUUGUCACGCCAGUGGCACAGCUGGGUAGUCACGUUUGGCAUAGAUAACCGCUGAAAGCAUCUAAGCGGGAAACUAGCUUCAAGAUAAGUAUUCUACGAGGAAGCUUCGAGAACAGGAGCUAGAUAGGUUGGGGGUGUACGCGCAGUAAUGUGUUUAGCUGACCAAUACUAAUCGAACGAAAUUUUAAUCA
rnacentral:rRNA from 1 species